UUUCAUUAAACCAUUACUAGUACAUCAAUCUCAAGAUAAAAUAACUUAAACAUACGUGAGGAACUCUACCAGGUUUGGCGCAUUAUGCAUAUAGGGCCUCUUCACCUUCGUAGUCCAAGAACGAUCUAAAUUGGGCUCUAAUACCAACCUGUAACACCCCAAACCUGAUAAGAUGAACCAGGUUUGAAUCUUGGGUGUUACCACUCAAAUACAGAUGAAACUUAACUCUACUUACACAAAUUACAAUUGAUUUUAACUACUUAAUUACAAGACUUCAUAAUACAAUACAUAAGUAUAAACAUUGAACAAUUCAGUUAUAUUACAUAGGGAAUUUGAUUACAAGUAUUACUGAAAUGAUGUCAUGUUCUUACGUAGUUAUCCUGAUUCAAGGCUUUCUAUGUGCCAAACAGACACGAUCACGCUAUCAAAGCUUGCUUUGUAUGAAUAAUAAUCUGAUACGCCGCUCCUUUGACAUAGUCUUGGCAUCAUUUCCCCAAGCACAUCUUCACAUUCAUCCUGAAGUAGAAAACAUAAUUCAUGUAAGCUGAUGAGAACUUAGUGGGAAAUAAUCAUUUAUACCUUAGUUGUUAAUUUUGAUAAACGAGCGGAUAGUCCAUCACCAUCAACUCUUUUUCUUAAAUCUUUAACUGAUUGUAAACAAUAUCAAUUUACCAUUAACGAAACAUAUUUCUUCCCUCUAUCUACUAUAUCAUAAUCAAUUUCCCUUAACAUUAUUUCAUCAGUGGCUUCAUCCUUUCAAAACCUUUUCCUUUCAUAUACAUUUUAAUCAUGAUUCCCUUACACACCUUAAACAUUGAACAAUUUCAGUUAUAUUACAUAGGGAAUUUGAUUACAACUAUAACUGAAAUGAUUCUAUGGUCUAAUGUAGUUCUCUCGAUUCGAGGGUUUAUAUGUGCCAAACAAACUCAAUCACGCCAUAAAAGCAUGCUCUGUAUGCAUAAUAAUCCGAUACGUCUCUCCUUUGGCAUAGUCCUAGUAUCGUUCCCUCAAGCCUAGCCUCAAAUUUAACCUGAAGUAGAAAACAUAAUCCCUAUAAGUUCAUGAUAACUUAGUGAGAAAUAAUCAAUUAUACCUUAGUCGUUGAUUUCCAUCACCAUCAAAUCAUUUUUUAAAAUAUUCAAUUAAUUGUCACCAUGAUCAGUUUACCAUUAAUGAAACAUAUCUCUUCCCUUUAUCAACUAUAUCAUAGUAAAAUUCCCUUAACAUUCUUUCAUCAUUGUCUUCAUCCUUUUAGAACCUCUUCCUUUCAUACUCAUAUUAAUCUUGAUUCCCUUACACAAUACCCUUCGUAAAAUGGUGUUUGAAUUCGCUUUCCUUACCUUAUCUUUCUUUGACCACCCUUUCUUCUUACUGUUCACUGUUCGACACCCUUCUUUAAACACUCAAAUGUAGCCUUUACUAAGGUUUGUUCUUUAAAUUUACUUAACCCAUACUCAUAAUUCACCACAUGCUCUGGCGCAUUCCACUUUCUCUGUUUUUGUUUUAAGACCAUGCUAGAUACACCAUAGCAAUCAAUAUGAAGUUCGCCACAAAGGAAGCUCAUCAGAAUAUCUCAUCGAAGGUGUAACAUGAUACGCCACAGUGGUUUUUCCUUCUGAGUUCAUUACAACUAUCGUUCCCUCAAAGUUUGUAUGAAUACCAUUUCUUUCUCUCAGGGUCUACCACAGAAGCAUUGCCUUCAGAUGGUUGCCAAAAUAGCCAUUCUUUAGAGUGGGCCACAAAGCCAUUCCCUUCAUAGAUUUCCAUAAAGGCUUCAUUUUUGUGGCGUGUUCACGAUUGGGAUUCGCCAAGACCCACAUUUCAUGAGGUUUGCCCCUCAUCGUCCUAGAUCACGUAACGAACCCCCUUUUGGGUAAUCACAUUCCUUUAGUACUUUUCCAUAUGAUGAAAUAGUCCUUUUAACUCCACCAUGGUGAAUAGACAUAGACUCACUUGACAGACACUUUGUACAUUGACAUUAUUUAUUAUUCAACACUUAAUUCAUACAAGCAACCAAAAUAUUUCCAGACAUGCCCAUACAACCAUACUUUAACUUCAGGAUUCUUAUCACUUACUUAAACUCGUCAGAUUUCAUACAAACAACACAUGCAAAGUCCAUCAAACAAUCAUGCAAUAGCAUAAUCAUCAUACCAUACUUUCCUAGUUUCAAAUUCAUAGUUUGAUCACUUUCUAUAGAGACACCUUAAAUGCAUAGAAUACAUACAAGAGUUAGCUUAAAGACACGCCUGAUAAUCACGGAUAGCAUCUUGAACCUUAGAUCUAGCGUCCAAUUAGGGAUUCCAACAACCAAUGCCUUAUAAAAUCGAAAAACACCAUUAAAACUCAUUUCAGAUAACCUUGUUAUCAUCUCUAACCUAGAUAACCCAUAUAAAAAGCCUUACUUCUUCCUCUUACGAUUCAUACAUUCUUAAAAUCCUAAUCUUUCAUAAUGCAGGAAGCCAUAAAACUUACCUUGACAUGAAGAAUCAUCCAUAUAAUUCAAGAUUUCAUCUUCAACUCAAAGAAAUAAAUUUUUGCUUCUUAAGCCUAAGGUAACAAUAUUCUAGAAAAAGGAAGAAGAAAACUCUCCUAUCCAAAUCUUAAAUAUCAAUUAAUAUAAUCUAAGUCCCUAUUAGAACUUGAUAAGUGUCAUAUUUUACACUAUUGCCUUAUCUAAAAGUCCACAAGUUUGGAGAAACCUACUUGAGUACCCUUUUAUCUUUUGACUAUUUCGGUUCACAUUUAGUUGGUUACUAUCCAGCUUACCUUGCAACUUAACUUGCACUGUACCACGAAUAAAGGUGUACUAUUCUUCUAUCAUGAACUCCCUCUUAAUACCCUUCCACUUCGUCACUACCUACUCCAAUUGACAUAACAAUCUGACAUAGCAUUUUCAUUACUGAAACAUAUAACUGUAUCCACCCACUCUAUACACCUAAAAUGUAUCUGGGUGAAUAUCACUCCGCCAGUCAUAAUACCUUAAGACUAUUUGUCAAACCUUGUACCCGCCAAAACUGGGCGCUAUACAAAACAUGUAAAGGCAUCAAAGACGCCAUGUCAAACCAACGGAAUCUCCUAAGUAACUCAGGGAGUUUUAUCUCCGUGUAUUAGUUCUUAUUUACCUAUCAAACUAAGAGUUUUCUAUGAGUACUGCUAUAUAGAACCUUACUAAAUUAAUCUGGACUAACUUUUGUAUUGCUCUGAAUGAAAGAUUAAGGAGUGAUUCAAGGAUCAUGGAGGGAUCAAGCCAAACACCGCCAAGUUGCACGAGCGGUGCCAUAUUGUAUCAUGUAUAAAUAUAGGAACCCUUAGAGGCUACUCCUAAGGGGAAAUUGCUUUAUUUUAUCUGCAUUAGAGUCUUGAGUCUCAAGCUAAGGUAAUUAAUUAUUCAUCCUUAAUAGGGGAUAAUGAUUAUAGGGACUGAACACUUGUAAGGUAUAAAAUAUAAUUGAAAUCAAAUUUUAAAUCAGUUAUUAUCUUUGGAUUUGGAUGAGAGUGAUUUAAUAGUAAUGAAUACUUAUUUUAAUAUUGACUAAGUCUGUAAAUCAUCGGAUAGAAAUUUUGUUAAGUAGUUUCAAUUAAUUGUGAUGUUGGGUACCUAGACCUGGAGAUCGGGUCAGGUAUAGGGUGUUACAUCUCUUGCCCCAUUCCUUAGCACUUUUGGAAUGAACACACUAUAACAAUUCCCUAAUCAGAAGCAAAAACAUUAUUAUUUACUUUCUAGAUAUGGCACGAUUAAACUCAACCAUCAUAAUAAAUCUUUAUAAAAACAGAGUCAAUUCGAAUCUAAAGGCAUCACACUAGCAUAGGUUAUUGUCGCAAGUAUUUCUAGGCUCAACACACAUUAUGUUCAAUCCAAGAAUUGAAUAAUUCUCUAGCUCUAAUACCACUAAAUGUAACACCCAUUACCCGACCCGAUAAUCAAGUUUGAUUAAUAGAGUGCCACAUUAGUUGCUGGAGCAACUACUGACAAAUUCACAGUAAAAACAUCCUUCCAUUCUAUCAAUCAUGCAAUCAAUCUAUAAUACAACAUAAAAUAACAUGAACAUUCUUUUUCGGGUCUUAUACGAGCAUACAAAUGCUUUAAAGUCAACUAGAUAUCAAAUAGGGACCUUUUUGUAACAUUUUUAAAAUUUUAGAUCAAGUACAUUACAAAUGAAUCAUUCAGAUAUUCAAUCAUAUCAUGAAAACCUAAAUAUUAUAGUACAAAUUUAAGUCUGAGCCUUACUUGAGCUUACGAAAGCUUUUUUGUAGACCCGAGCAUGAAUUAGGACCAAAUUGCAAGGUUUUGAAAGUUGAGGUUCCACAUCGAGAUGUGACCUUUACUCUGUGAAAUUGCCAAAAUAGUGAGUCACAUCACAAUUUUGGACCACUAGAAAUUGAGACAUCACAAACUUUCUAUCGACGUUGCGACGAUAAGUAUUUCAGGUCAACACGAGGACCCUUUUUUUAUGAAAUUUGUCCAUUUAGUACCUAUUUAAUGCCAAGCCAAACCUUAAGCUUAUUUAGUGCAUAUAUGCACAUCUAAACCUACAAAAAACCAUUUUUAAAGGAAUUCCCAAACAUCCAUUAUUAUUACUUAGUUCAAAAAAUUCUAAGUACCAAUGCAACAUGUCUAAAAUUUUAGCACCAAAACUUAUCAAAACUACUUGCUCAAUCCAAACUUACCUAAGAUACAUAUACCACUUCAAAUCAUCAUAUUUUCAUAGCAUUAUGCAUCAAACCAUACCAUUAAAUCCCAUUCCAAUACAUUAACACACAAUUUCUCAAUCAACCAAACAUUUAUAUACCAUUAAAGUCUCUUAGUAAUCAUUUCACUUGUACACAUUUACACAAUUAAUCAAUUUCAUCAAUAUAACCAUACUAAUUGAGUUUCAAAUUUUCCAUUCAUAAAAUCCAUAUGCAAUAUAACAUAUUACCAAGCUUACACAUAUUUAUACAUGCCCAUAAAUAAGUCCAAAAUAAUAGGGAAAGGGAACUUCUCGACAAUCAAUUUGACAUGUUCUACAAGUUAGCCAUCUACAGGGAAAGGGAAACAACAACGUAAAAAUUACAAAUGUUUAGUAAGUUUACAAGUAUUUAAACAACUUACCUCAAAUUACAACUUAAUUUGAUAAAAUACUAGCUUUACAAGUUUACCUAAAUAUGGAAACCACAUAUCAACAAGGUGAGUAUCAACAUAUAUUGCAUUUUAUAAUAAAUCAAGCAUAUAACAUUCCCAAUAACUUAUAACCAACAUUUAUUGAAUUUGAUAUGAAUUUCAUAUCAUUUUAUAUCUAUUAUCAAUUAUACAUCCAAUUUCAAUAUAAUGUUAUUCACUAUUUCAUUCCAUUAUUCAAAUUUCGAAUCAAAUCAUUAAUUCAUCACAUUUCCGUAUAGGCCCUCUAGGCUUGUAAAAUAAGUUCACAUUAUCUUUUAUAAAUCACAACAUGUAUUUGUAUCAUCCAGUCAUAUGACCAACAAUAUUCGCAUAUGAUUUAUCCCAUUUACACUUUAUACCCCUAUUAACUUAACUUGGACUCGAACGGAUACACGGAUCCAACUAAUCAAACUAGUUUGGCACCCAGUGCCUCAUUAGAUUAUGCUGAAGUAAACAGUUUGUGCCCAAAGGUCAUCAAUGUGUUUGGCACGUAGUGCUUCAUCGGUAUAACCGAAGUAAUUAGGCACCUAGUGCCUCAUCGACACAUAGUUAAAGUAACCCUAAACUCUUCCUAUCCUAUUAUAUGCCAACUAUAUCCAGCUCUACCCAAACAGAUAAUAAGGUAGCAAUUUACUCAAUUUCAUUUAUAAGCCAAUUUCUCAAUUCGAUGCUGUCAUUUCAUCAACCAAUUAUCAAUUUGUAUGUAUAACAUUAUAAUUCAUCUUAGUAUAAAGCUAAUUUUGCAAUUACAACAAUUUACAAUAUUUCCAUAUCUAUUCAAUUUAGUCCUCUCUCUCGAAGAUCAAACAUAAUCAUAUUAACUUGGUUCAAUUUAACAAAUCAACCUCAUACUGCAAAUCAUUAUAUUCAACUCAUUAGUCAAUUUGUCAUUUCUUUAUAAUUUAUCCAUAUCUCACCUUUUUGUACCAAAUCGUAACAAUCCAAAUUUCAAAUAAAUAUAUUUACAAUUAUAAUUUUAAAUAUAUAAAAUUUUAACACAAAUAUGCCAUAUGAACUUACUUGGUCAAAAUAGCAAAUGAUCAAUUCUCUAAGGACUAAUCAGCAAAUAUGUAUUUUUCCCUAAUUAAUUCUAAUUUGGUCCAAUUCGCGAUCUAUACAAUUACUCAAUUCAAUUUAUCAAUUUAAACCGUCUUAUUCAUCCUAUUAUAAACAUAUAUAUGUUUAACUUUACUAUUCAAAUGCCACUUAGACUUUUUUAUUUUAUUCAAUUUAGUCCCUAAAAUUGAAACUGCCAUAAUUUUCACAUUUAAGCCCCGUUUUCAUCCCGAUCUUAGUUUCAUCCCUGUACAACCCUCUAAAUUUAAUAAUUAUAGAAAUUUCAUGUCAAUUUCAAAAUAUUUUUAUUUUAGUCCCUAAAAUCAAAACUAACAAAUUUCACUUUACAAAUUUGUCCUAUUACAUUUCCAAGCUUCAAAUCCUACCAUUAAACAUUAAAAAUAUCAAAAAUCAUCAAUGGAAACAUUUUAAAACUCUAACAAUUUUACGAUUUAAUAUCGUGUCUAACUAGAUUAAGCUACAACGAUCUAAAAACAUAAAAUUUACGAAAAAUGAACUUAAAAUUGGUUUCCAUGCAAAGGCCGAAUCUUGAAAUUGUUUGAAGCUUUCUUCCUCUUCUACAAUGGUGUUCGGAUAGUGGGAGGAUUAGAAUAAAAAAAUUCUCUUCCCACACACUUAUGUUAUCUUUUAUUAUUUUCAUAUAAUAUUAUUUGUUUUAACUAUAAUUAAUAAAACAAAGUAAAAUACCUACUCCAACAUUCCAACAUUCUUAAUAUUGGCUUAAUUGCCCUUUACAACCCUAGAAUUCACUAUAUAUACCUUUAACCAACAAAAAUUCAAUAGAAAUCAAAUUUUACAAUUUUUACGAUUUAGUUUUGUACCCUAAUUAAUCAUCCAAUCACUAAAAUUUCCAAACCAAAAUUCAAUUCACUUAUAUAGCAACUCUUUAAAUAUUUACGAGCUUGAUUACGGAAAUGAGGUCCCGAUACCUCAUUUUCCAAAACCACUGACUUUAAGGUCAAACCACUUGUACUUUAACUAACUAUCUAAUUAGUAGAUUUAUCAUAUCAAAGUUCAAUAUAACUUUACAAUAGACUUGUAAAUAUUAAUUAAGAAAAUUUACGGACUCGAUUAUCGGAUAACGAGAUUCCAAAACCACCAUUUUUGACACCACUAACUUUCGGGUCAUUACAUCUCUCUUUGACUUGUUGUGAUACCACAAAGGCCAAGUACAGAUAUUUGGGCCCCUGGAGAUAAAAUUCAAUCCAAAAACACUCUAAAACAUCACCAAUCACUACCUUAACAUAUCAUUAUCAUAUGUUUUCAACCAUUACAUAUUCAUUUCAUAAAUUCAAUAAAUCCAACAUCUUAAAUCAUGGACAUUUUAACAUAUUCAUUAACAUGUUUAUAUUCAUAUUAAUAUCACCAUUUUACUAUUCCCUUAAACAUAUUAACUUAGGAAAAGUAAGGUUAUCCAAGGAUACUCACCUCUUGGAUGCAUUUUUACUCAAAAUCAAGCUUCCAAGUACUUGAAUCCAUCCUCCUCCUAGCUUGAAUAUCCAAUAACCAUCAUUUCCUCAUUUUUUUCAUACACCAAAAGUAAACUAACAUUAACAUAUUUCAAAUUUUUCUUAUACAAAAAAUCUCAAAUACUGAGCUAAAAGAAGUGGACAACAUCAUUACAAACAUUUAUAAAGCUUUCUCUUUCUAGGUUCUAUUUUCUCUCUCUAAUACUCAUGAAAGCCCUUGUUGAAAAUGUGUCGGGGGUUAAAGGUGUUAAUGACUUUAUAAGGUAGUUUUUCAAGUGAUUUGAACAAAAUCCCAAAGUUUGGGUGUUGAGUUUUGGACAAAUUUCAUGAAAACGUAAGGAAAAUGAGAGAAGAAGAAGAGUCUCACUAUGGGAGGGCUGGCCGGCUACAACGGGCUGAAUGGGAGGUCUUUUUUCCUCUCUUU
rnacentral:lncRNA from 1 species